UGGGGAAUCUUGCACAAUGGAGGAAACUCUGAUGCAGCGACGCCGCGUGAGCGAAGAAGCCUUUCGGGGUGUAAAGCUCUUACGCCAGGGACGAUAAUGACGGUACCUGGAGAAGCAGCUGCGGCUAACUACGUGCCAGCAGCCGCGGUAAUACGUAGGCAGCAAGCGUUGUUCGGAAUUACUGGGCGUAAAGGGUGCGUAGGCGGCGCUCUAAGUUUGGUGUGAAAUCUCCCGGCUUAACUGGGAGGGUGCACUGAAAACUGGGGCGCUCGAGUAUGGGAGAGNAAAGCGGAAUUCCUGGUGUAGCGGUGAAAUGCGUAGAGAUCAGGAGGAACACCUGCGGUGCAGACGGCUUUCUGGACCAUCACUGACGCUGAGGCACGAAAGCGUGGGUAGCAAACA
rnacentral:rRNA from 1 species